UAAAGUAUGACCAGGAAGGAAAGAUGUGGUUGGAGAAAUAGGUAUGGGCCAUGCCCUCUGGGUGAAGGAAUAUAUGGAUCUUUUGGGGGGGGGUGUGCAAGAAGAAGCUAUGAAAAGGAUAUAAACAGAGUAGGAAAAAAUUGAUCUGGAUGAUAAAAAGAUCACCCUAGCUGCUGUGAGCCAUGGCAGUUAGGCCCUGGCGGUUAUUUUGAGAAUGUCUUUCUCAGCAGUUAAGGGGACAGUUGGUCCUGGGAAGUGGGGGUGGGGAGCUGUUACCAGAAAACCAACAAAAUAGGUUGAGCCUGUGUGUCAGGCCCACCUAUACCAGCAGCCCAGAGCGCUGUCACAGGUGGCACCAUGGGCCACGCAGCACAGAGCCCUACUGAGGCAUCCCACCCUGUGGACAGCACACUUGUCCUGAGGGGCUACAGCACAAGACUGUAGCUUCUCUCCCUGAUAUGCAUAUUCAAAAGUCCAGGAACGAUUCUGUUAAGAAUUACCUUAAAAAAAAAAAAAAAGAAUUACCUUAAUCUGGGCAAGAAGAAGGAAGAACAGAGCCUUGGGCUUCCAGAGCAUCCCAAUUCAAAGUCUCAGCUAACUUUAUUUUCCUCAUCACUGAGACACUGUACCUGACAUCCACAAAUUAAAGAGAAACAGUUUAUUUUGGCUCACAGUUUGCAGAAGUUACAGUCUAUGCUUGCAUGGCUCUACAGCAGGGCAGAGGAGGCUGGUUCAUGGGUGUGGCAGAGAGCAAGCAGACAUCAAAGGAGGAGGGAGGGAGAUAGACCUUUCCAGGCCAUGGCCCCAAGUAGCCCACCUCUUGACACCACUUCUUACUUCUCAGCAUCACCGUUACCUAUAAACUCAUAUCACCAUGAUCCAGUCACCUCCCAAAGCCCCACCUAUGAAUGCAUGAGGUUUUGUGAGGGAACCUAGAUAUGAACCAUAACAACUCCCCUCCAUGCCAACUGGCUAUUUUUGAGGAGCCUCAAAAAUUGGUGUUUCCAAGGACAGCCUGUUUUUGAACACCAAGUUUUAGCUGGCCUGAAAAAAAGCCUGAUGUUCUCCCACUCAGCACUCCAAAGUCUCUGCUCGUGCAGAAGACACACCUGUCUGCUUUCUGCAAGCUGAGGAGGAGUCAAGUGCAGAGUGGCCUAGAGGAAGCCUGAUCUACCAGAUGGACUCCUGACCUCAGUCAUAGCCAACAACCACCAGCACAAAGCAGGAGGUUUAGGCUUCCACACUAAAGAAUAGCAGUGCUGCCCACAGCUCCUCCUAUACCUGUUUACUACCAUGUCCUCUACCAAGGAUGUGCAGAAACCCAGGUGAGCUGGCACGGAGAGACCUACUGCCUGGUUGGAGGCUACAGGGUCUACGGGGAUGCUGCCAUCACCACCCCAGCAAAAUCCAGUCCAGAGAAGUCAGCAUCCACAUGGGUCUAUGGAGAUGCUUCCACUGCCACUGCUGCAGAGGCCAAAGCCGAACAGCCACCAUGCACGCAGGCUCUCAAGAGACGGCGAUACAUGGGAGAAUGUAAUGAACACUUAGGGUGCCCAAGCCUCAAAAUUCGUCACUUGAGCAAUGGCAACAAGGACCAACAAUGCGUUGAUGGUUGAGCCAGGCUAUUAAGACUUGAGACAAUGGAUUUUGGAAGACCUCUAUUGUAGAGUAGUCAGGUAGAGGCCUGUUCUACCAGAUGGACUCCUGACUUCACCAUAGCCAGCAACCACCAGCACAAACAAGGACAAUAUGGCCUACUUAAACUGAAAGACAUGCAGCAGCUGCACAUGGAGCCUCAUGCUUGUGCUCUCAGAGAUGUCCCCAAGGCUUCCACCUCUUUUCUUCUCUGCCCUUAAUAUCCCCUGAGGGCUUCUCACUGUUGAAUAAAAUUAUUUUCUGUAACAGUUUUUGACUGGAAAUUCAACUUGUCCAAGGCCAAUUCUCAAACUUUUCAGUUCCCUUCAAGUGCAUUCAUAUAAGACAGCUGUUCUUCUAAGGACUUCUGCUUUCAAUUUGGAUCCAUGGUUAUAGUUUCCAAUGGUGUAAUCCCUGCAAUGAUGCCCAGAAGACUUGUUCCAAGUCCCAGGCCAGUUCUUGAAGAAAUGGGAAGCCUCAGGUGGGGAUGUAGCUCAGUAGGAAAGCAUGUGUUUAGCAUGUGUGAGGUCCUGCAUUCA